ACGGGAGGUAGCAGUGGGGAAUAUUGCACAAUGGGCGAAAGCCUGAUGCAGCGACGCCGCGUGAGUGAUGAAGUAUUUCGGUAUGUAAAGCUCUAUCAGCAGGGAAGAUAAUGACGGUACCUGACUAAGAAGCACCGGCUAAAUACGUGCCAGCAGCCGCGGUAAUACGCAUGGUGCAAGCGUUAUCCGGAUUUACUGGGUGUAAAGGGAGCGCAGGCGGUACGGCAAGUCUGAUGUGAAAGCCCGGGGCUCAACCCCGGUACUGCAUUGGAAACUGUCGAACUAGAGUGUCGGAGGGGUAAGUGGAAUUCCUAGUGUAGCGGUGAAAUGCGUAGAUAUUAGGAGGAACACCAGUGGCGAAGGCGACUUACUGGACGAUAACUGACGCUGAGGCUCGAAAGCGUGGGGAGCAAACAGGAUUAGAUACCCUGGUA
rnacentral:rRNA from 1 species